CCUACGGGAGGCAGCAGUGGGGAAUAUUGGGCAAUGGAGGAAACUCUGACCCAGCAAUGCCGCGUGCAUGAAGAAGGUCUUCGGAUUGUAAAGUUCUUUAGUCAGGGAAGAAUACAAUGACGGUACCUGCAGAAUAAGCUCCGGCUAACUACGUGCCAGCAUCCGCGGUAAUACGUAGGGCGCAAGCGUUGUUCGGAAUGACUGGGCGUAAAGGGUGCGUAGGCGGUUAUACAAGUUAGAAGUGAAAUACCCAGGGCUUAACUCGGGUGCUGCUUCUAAAACUGUAAGACUUGAGGGCAGUAGAGGUUAGGGGAAAUCCGAGGGUAGGGGUGGAAUGCGUAGAAAUUAGGAGGAACACCAGAGGUGAAGGGGGCUAACUGGACUGCAACUGACGCUGAGGCACGAAAGUGUGGGGAGCAAACAGGAUUAGAUACCCUUGUAGUC
rnacentral:rRNA from 1 species